rnacentral:rRNA from 1 species
AUUGAACGCUGGCGGGAUGCUUUACACAUGCAAGUCGAACGGAGUGGCGGACGGGUGAGUAAUAUAUCGGAAAGUGCCCAGUAGCGGGGGAUAACUACUCGACAGAGUGGCUAAUACCGCCUACUAUUGGAGCGGCCGAUAUCGGAUUCGCUAGUUGGUGGGGGAAAGGAUCACAAAGGCAACGAGCCGUAGAUGGUUUGAGAGGACGACCAGCCAGACUGGGACUGAGACAAGGCCCAGACUCCUACGGGAGGCAGAGGUGGGGAAUUUGGGACAAUGGGGGAAACCCUGAGCCAGCCAGCCCGCGUGUAUGAUGAAGGCCUUCGGGUUGUAAAGUACUUUUGGCAGAGAAGCGGUAUCUGCAGAAUAAGCACCGGCUAACUACGUGCCAGCAGCCGCGGUAAUUC